rnacentral:rRNA from 1 species
UACGUAGGGAGCAAGCGUUGUCCGGAAUCAUUGGGCGUAAAGCGCGCGUAGGCGGCCUCGUAAGUCCGUUGUGAAAGUCAAAGGCUCAACCUUUGAAAGCCGAUGGAUACUGUGAGGCUAGAGUCCGGAAGAGGCGAGUGGAAUUCCUGGUGUAGCGGUGAAAUGCGCAGAUAUCAGGAGGAACACCAACGGCGAAGGCAGCACUCUGGGCCGGUACUGACGCUGAGGAGCGAAAGCGUGGGGAGCAAACAGG